ACGAACGCUGGCGGCGUGCCUAAUACAUGCAAGUCGAACGCUUCUUUUUCCACCGGAGCUUGCUCCACCGGAAAAAGAGGAGUGGCGAACGGGUGAGUAACACGUGGGUAACCUGCCCAUCAGAAGGGGAUAACACUUGGAAACAGGUGCUAAUACCGUAUAACAAUCGAAACCGCAUGGUUUUGAUUUGAAAGGCGCUUUCGGGUGUCGCUGAUGGAUGGACCCGCGGUGCAUUAGCUAGUUGGUGAGGUAACGGCUCACCAAGGCGACGAUGCAUAGCCGACCUGAGAGGGUGAUCGGCCACAUUGGGACUGAGACACGGCCCAAACUCCUACGGGAGGCAGCAGUAGGGAAUCUUCGGCAAUGGACGAAAGUCUGACCGAGCAACGCCGCGUGAGUGAAGAAGGUUUUCGGAUCGUAAAACUCUGUUGUUAGAGAAGAACAAGGAUGAGAGUAACUGUUCAUCCCUUGACGGUAUCUAACCAGAAAGCCACGGCUAACUACGUGCCAGCAGCCGCGGUAAUACGUAGGUGGCAAGCGUUGUCCGGAUUUAUUGGGCGUAAAGCGAGCGCAGGCGGUUUCUUAAGUCUGAUGUGAAAGCCCCCGGCUCAACCGGGGAGGGUCAUUGGAAACUGGGAGACUUGAGUGCAGAAGAGGAGAGUGGAAUUCCAUGUGUAGCGGUGAAAUGCGUAGAUAUAUGGAGGAACACCAGUGGCGAAGGCGGCUCUCUGGUCUGUAACUGACGCUGAGGCUCGAAAGCGUGGGGAGCAAACAGGAUUAGAUACCCUGGUAGUCCACGCCGUAAACGAUGAGUGCUAAGUGUUGGAGGGUUUCCGCCCUUCAGUGCUGCAGCUAACGCAUUAAGCACUCCGCCUGGGGAGUACGACCGCAAGGUUGAAACUCAAAGGAAUUGACGGGGGCCCGCACAAGCGGUGGAGCAUGUGGUUUAAUUCGAAGCAACGCGAAGAACCUUACCAGGUCUUGACAUCCGAUGCAUAGCACAGAGAUGUGUGAAAUCCUUCGGGACAUCGAGACAGGUGGUGCAUGGUUGUCGUCAGCUCGUGUCGUGAGAUGUUGGGUUAAGUCCCGCAACGAGCGCAACCCUUAUCUUUAGUAGCCAGCGGUUCGGCCGGGCACUCUAGAGAGACUGCCAGGGAUAACCUGGAGGAAGGCGGGGAUGACGUCAAAUCAUCAUGCCCCUUAUGACUUGGGCUACACACGUGCUACAAUGGGAAGUACAACGAGUCGCAAAGUCGCGAGGCUAAGCUAAUCUCUUAAAGCUUCUCUCAGUUCGGAUUGUAGGCUGCAACUCGCCUACAUGAAGCCGGAAUCGCUAGUAAUCGCGGAUCAGCACGCCGCGGUGAAUACGUUCCCGGGCCUUGUACACACCGCCCGUCACACCACGAGAGUUUGUAACACCCGAAGUCGGUGAGGUAACCUUUUGGAGCCAGCCGCCUAAGGUGGGAUAGAUGAUUGGGGUG
rnacentral:rRNA from 1 species